rnacentral:rRNA from 1 species
GACAAACGCUGGCGGCGUGCCUAACACAUGCAAGUCGAGCGCGAAAGGAGCAAUCCGAGUAGAGCGGCGCACGGGUGCGUAACACGUGGGUAAUCUGCCUCAGGGUAAGGGAUAACCUUCCGAAAGGUUGGCUAAUACCUGGUAAGCCUACGGCCUCUUCGGAGGCUGUGGGAAAAGUAAACCUCUAUUUAUAAGUUUACGCCCAGAGAUGAGCCCGCGGCCCAUCAGCUGGGUGGCGGGGUAACGGCCCACCAAGGCUACGACGGGUAGCUGGUCUGAGAGGACGAUCAGCCACACUGGAACUGAGACACGGUCCAGACUCCUACGGGAGGCAGCAGUGGGGAAUUUUCCACAAUGGGCGAAAGCCUGAUGGAGCAACGCCGCGUGUGUGAUGAAGGUCUUCGGAUCGUAAAGCACUUUCGACCGGGACGAAAAACCUCUGGCUAACAUCCAGGGGCCUGACGGUACCGGGAGAAGAAGCACCGGCUAACUCUGUGCCAGCCGCCGCGGUAAAAC